rnacentral:misc_RNA from 1 species
CGGUAUGGACCAAUGUGGUCUAUUUUCAUCUGUUUUCCAACAGCUGAUUUAGUAAAGUUGGUUUCGUUAGCAAAUACCAAAUAGUAAAUAAUGUAAGAUUCGUUCAUUUGUAAGACAUGUGAUUUAGAUAUUCAACUCAAAUUAGCAGCCUUAUCUUUGUUUCAUUACAAUUUACUUUUCAAUUCAAUUUAAAUUUAAGUGCCUAUCUUUAAAAACAAAUAAUUGGCUUUUUUAUUUUAGGUUAGGUAAUAGUAUUUACUGGAAUACCUUUAACUACCUAUUCAAAUUUCAUCAUUUUUGUUUAGUCGUGUAUAUUGCACGAGCUUUUUUGCGGAGAAACCAGGCUUCAAUUGACCCGAUUGCCCUUUUUCCAAGAACCCGUCGUCUGGACAAUCGAAACUAUGAUGAAGUGUCCGAAGUAUCCGAAGUGUCCUAUGAAAUUUUAGAUCUAUUCAGCUUUACGUCGUCCUCAAAACAAAUACGCUCCAGUAUUACGGUAGCUGAAACAUCAGCAAUUAGACCUACUACUUACAAAACUUCGUACUUUUUAUAAUCAAUUUUGGCUACUGUCUAUGUUAGGCGGUCUAGGGGGAAAAAAAUAUCCCGAGGACGCAAACAGUUUUAUAAAAUGGGGCACCUUCUCCAUGGAGCCAUCCUCGUACCAGAGUUCUUGCUAGAUCUAAAAACAAAACACCUGGAGAAAUUUCACCAUCCCAAGCUACCUGCAAAAAUGUAUGGACUCAAACUAGCUUGUCAUUUCCUCCUGUCCUACCACUAGAAGUUGAAGAAAUACUCAAUCAGUACAUGAAUGAUCCCGAGGACCAUGCUGCUGCUCAGUCAUCAACCUCAUCUAACAGUGAAUGCGAAGAUUCCAGCCUUAACGCUUCAAGCCUUAGGCGAAAGCUCUUUUCUCAGAUGAAUACCACACCACAAGCUGAAGAUGCAGCAAGGAGUCGCGAGCAGUCUUCGAGCCCGAUUUUAACUACUGGUCCUCAUAGUUCACGCUUUUCUUUCAGUCCUUCCUCCCAUCCGGUUUCACCACCUAUUCUAUCACCUAUAAGUUCGCAUCUCGAAGAAAGUGCUGCUAUGGAUGAAGCGACAAGCCAGAACUGGGGAACCAUUGAUUCACGGCCAUCUAGUUUUCCUGACAGAACAGUUCUAAUGGAAACGUAUGAAGCUGAUGAUAAAGCUUAAUGAUGCUGAUGGCAAAGCUGCACCAGUAAUCCUAUAAAGCCGCGUAUAUUUAUCGUCUAGCUGACAGUUAUCGUCUAGUUAUUGUCUAGAUGACUUUACUAAUUAAGAGCGAACUAUGGUCGCCUAGCAAACAGUUCAGACGAAAGUUCGCAUAUUAUGAAAAAUGGCAUCCUUAGCACAGCCGCCCUCAGGUGUUCACGAAACGACGAUUGUCAGCUAUUUUGACCGACCAACCCAGCCCAUUCCGACUCCCAACUUCAUACUCUUUUAUACCUGUAGGCUACAAGACCGCCCAUUUCUACCGAUGGUCCCUUUAUCAGCUUUCCCUUCGUCACAGCCAGUUUUAUCCCCCCCCUCUCGUUUAACCUGUUGUGUAGUUUCGGAUUUCCGCUCUCUGUGUACUACCUGCUUCGGGUUUUCGAGCGAUAACAAUUGCGCUCUGCAUACGUAAAAAGUUCAAUAUCGUAAAGUGGUUUCCAGUUACCACAUAGAAAUAUUUCACCAAGAUUAUUUAGAAAUUCACAGAUAUUAAACAUGACUUUUUCAUGAAAAACUAAACCGUUAACCUUCUUUAACCGUAAUUAUUAGUCUAUUCUUUCGUACGGAACACCGCUAAAAUUGCAAUGUUUUGAAAGAUAGAGAUAGCGGUCACGAAGCCUAUGAUCUCAUGUAAUGCUCAAGGCAACAUCCUCCUUAAUUAUCAUAUAGCUUAUCUGCAGUGAUGUAAGCAACAACGUAUCUGAUUAUGUCGAUCUGACACAUCACAUUGGCAAGACGCAUGCUUGUCUGCCUACAGUAUUUUGAAUUAAGCUUUUGAUUUUAAAAUUUUCGCAAUUACUAUCGACAAUAUGCGCCUAACUCGAUGACACCCGGACGCUUGUCUCGGUGAAAGGAAUGUGGACCCUAAAAAAUUGGUUUUUCUAAAAACUAUUUCAUUUUAGUUGCAUUUUUCUAGGCCUCCUAGAUAUUUUGCAAAUGCCUCUUGUCCACAAAUCGCGAAGAUUUUCACCGUUAACGGACCCCGGGUCGACUGCACUGAGGAAUGGUUUUACCGUUUAAUCAUUUAUUGAUUCGAGUUACGAACGGAUUGUUUUAAUGCAAGCCGCUCAGUUCAAUGUACCAAUAAAUUGUGUGCCUAUGCUAAA